GUGCUUGCUUCAGCAGCACAUAUACUAAAAUUGGAACGAUAAAGAGAAGAUAAGCAUGGCUGUUUCACAAGGAUGACACACAAAUUCAUGAAGUGUUCCAUAUUUUU
ensembl:snRNA U6 U6 spliceosomal RNA